rnacentral:rRNA from 1 species
CGUUAGCGGCGCGCCUAACACAUGCAAGUCGAGCGAGAAGGAAGCAAUUCCUGUAAAGCGGCGCACGGGUGAGUAACACGUAGGUAAUCUACCUCGAAGUGGUGGAUAACCUUCCGAAAGGAGGGCUAAUACAGCAUGAGACCACGGUUUCGAAAGAGAUUGAGGUCAAAGCGGGCCACUAUACAUAAGCUCGCGCUUCGAGAUGAGCCUGCGGCCCAUCAUGGUAGUUGGUAGGGUAAUGGCCUACCAAGCCGAAGACGGGUAGCUGGUCUGAGAGGAUGAUCAGCCACACUGGAACUGAGACACGGUCCAGACUCCUACGGGAGGCAGCAGUGGGGAAUCUUGCGCAAUGGGCGAAAGCCUGACGCAGCGGCGCCGCGUGAGUGAUGAAGGCCUUCGGGUUGUAAAGCUCUGUGGAGGGGGACGAAUAAGGGUUGGCUAACAUCCAGCUCGAUGACGGUACCCCUUUAGCAAGCACCGGCUAACUCUGUG